UGCCGUCCGAUGUUUUUAAUGGAAUCACAUCAAUGAUGUGACGAUAGACGCUCUCUACAGAUGACACGGCAGCUCUCGUUUUCUUUGAUGACGUCACGAGGCUGCAUGAAAUUGGACUUGGAGGGGAAAUUCACUUUCGAUUGGUGGUGAUGCUGCUGCAUGGUCUGCUGUCUGCUGCACUUUCGGACUGCGUGAGACAACAGCCAGAGCUUUCGAUUGAUUUGUGCACCUCUGAUCGAAUGGAAGGUGUUGCUGCUGAAUGAAGCAGGUGAAGCUUGGACGUUCUGGGAAAUUCUGUAGACAGAGGUUAAAGUAUACAAGUUCGUCUAGUUCCUCUGAAGACCAGCGUAUAAUUUUGAUGGAGUAGUUUCAGUUUCUACGCCAGGUAAAAAGAUGGGAGAAAAUGGUUUCCAGGUGAGCAGGAACAAGUGGAGACCAGGGGAUAUCUACUCCCUAUUGGACUAGAAUGAAAUUUUUUAAGUUAUCGAUGCAUAAUUCAAGUCAGAGCGCAAUGAAACUUUUACUGGACUCAUGAGGUUAUGAAACAUCGAACAAAAUGCAAUGGUUUGACAGCUGCAAUGGAACAAAACUAUUUCAACCAAAUACAAGAUCCAUAAACAUGCAAUAUGAAGUCGGGGGAGAUUCCUUGCAAUGGGUACUACCAGAUUUUAUUACCACACCGUGGUAGGAAAGGUCAGUAUUUUGUUAAAUAAAAAAAAAAGAUUUGUUGUCUUUGUGGUGACAGCUGAUGCUGUUGAAGUGUGCAGAGUUACAGAAUGAAUGUGAUGAUGAUUUUCCUCUUUUACUGACAUAUUCUAGUUUUUGGAAUAAUGGGUUACUGGUAGUACUUAGACGAGUAUACGUAUAUUUAUAAUAUAUGUAAUAUAUAAGAUAUGUAAUAUAAGGCAGUCCCCAGUUAUCAGCGGGGGUGCCGUUCCCAGGGGUGUGCUGGUAACUAAAAACCGCCAUUAACCAAAACUCGGCUUGUGGCGCCGAUAACCGGAACACUGUCCGUUAUGGCGCCGUAAAUCGCCGAUUUUAUGGCGCUAGACAAACGCCAUCAAACUGGAUUGCCGAUAACCAGGGACUGCUUUAUAUAUAAAUAUACUUGUUUAUAGUAUACAUACUUACAUACAUGUGCUGUAUAUGAAUAUAUUAGAUACAUAUGUGAAUGAUAAAAAUAAAGACAUAUUUUUUUAUGCUUUAAUACAUUAAGUUCCAGGGGUCAAUCUUAUAUGCUCUGCUGGAUACAAUAUCUUUAUUUCGGUAACCUGAGUCACUGUAUGCACCUCUGUAAUGGUUCUGUUGCAAUAUCAUCGUCUUGAUGCUGUUUUUUGUUAAGAGCUAUGGGCUGUGAAUGGAAUAAGAAAAUAGCCCUGCUGAGCAGAAGGAGUUUAUAAUAUUUUCCUCGCACAAAUCAAGAACUCUCAUUUACUGAAGAUUUUAGUGGAUGCUCUUGGAGCAAGAGCCUUUGCUGCCAUAUAGUCGGCUUCAUAUAAUCUGCAACGGCAGCAUUUGUAGACAUUCCAUGGCUAUUUGUAUUUCGAUUCCAGUUGUACAGUUGUUAUUGUAUGCUCUUGAAAACGGAUGGUGCAUUUUAUGUUCUGUAUUUCUCGUCUGUUACAUUGAUCAUAUUUAUUGGUGUGCAUUGCUGCGAUACAAAAGGCUAGAUGUGGCAUUUGGAAGUAGUAUAUUAAUUAAAAGAAAUAAUAAUACAAUUUCGUCAAGUCACUUAAGGCUUCUUUUCAUCUUCAUACACUGUUAAGGCAGCCAUUUAGAUUAUUAAUACCAGGUACGUAAUGCCAACAGGUUAAUUCAUCGCAGUUGUAACUUGUAACAAAUAAAAAAAAAUACAGCGUAUUUUGCGGUAUUUAUCUUUCAUCAGCUAAAUUCAUAGGCAAAUGCUUACUAAACAACCACAGCUAUUAGUUUGAUUGGGAUUUUCAGGCCCAGUGGUCCUGUUCAUUGUCGUUUUACAAACACCAAUCGAACUAUGUAUGUGGAAAUCAUAAUGAAGGUAAAUUAUAAAACAACAUAUUACAAUUAAGUCACUGAUGUGGAUAUAGUAAAUGGAGUUUUAUGCUCAUAUACGUAUUUCAGAUGUCUGAC